rnacentral:rRNA from 1 species
UACGAAGGGGGCUAGCGUUGCUCGGAAUGACUGGGCGUAAAGGGCGCGUAGGCGGAGUGUUUUGUCGGGCGUGAAAUUCCAGGGCUCAACCUUGGGGCUGCGUUCGAGACGGGCAUUCUGGAGUGGGGAAGAGGGUCGUGGAAUUCCCAGUGUAGAGGUGAAAUUCGUAGAUAUUGGGAAGAACACCGGUGGCGAAGGCGGCGACCUGGUCCUUGACUGACGCUGAGGCGCGAAAGCGUGGGGAGCAAACAGGAUUAGAUACCCUGGUAGUCCACGCUGUAAACGAUGUGCGCUGGAUGUUGGGCGGCCUAGCCGUUCAGUGUCGUAGCUAACGCGGUAAGCGCACCGCCUGGGGAGUACGGCCGCAAGGUUGAA